AGUUCUGCGCCGAAGCUCGUAAC
rnacentral:siRNA from 1 species